AGUAGUUGAUAAUAGCGCAAUCAUUGUUCACUUCUGGAUGAAUUUGACUAACCUAAUUCUUCCUUCUGUGUUCAUUCAUAUAGCUUGAUAUAAGAACAGUAGGGGUGUGAGUUGAUUGUGAAUAUUUUUCAUGUUAGGCCCAAGAUCACCUGUUCUUUAAAGUUCUUAACUGGGAAAUGAUGAAAUAACAUGGAAAGUGACUGGCAUAGAGGAGGUGAUUGAUAAAUAACUGCUGACAUUAUUAUACAUGUUAUUGUAGAGGAAAUCUCUAGUUCUUCUUUUACCAAAGUAUAGUCUACAGGUUACAAGUGCCAUGAGAUGUAAAUGAAAUAGGGGUUUUGUGAUUAAAUGAGUUUAAGAAAUAUAUAAUAUCUUUCUCUGAUUUCUCUCAGAAAUUCACAAUAUAUCAAUGUGUUAUUAAAGCCUUUAGGAUGUUCUUCUAAAUAAAUCUAUUUCAUUUCAACUAUGUCUUCCAAAUGUAUUUGACCACUCAAUUCCUUUUUUCUAAAACAUCCUUUGGCAUCCCAUACUUUGUGAAAGUCUUUUAUAGAUAGGUCAUUAUGUCCCAAUUGUUUACCUGGUUUACUUGUAUAAUCAAGGAAAUUCCUUACCACUGAGCUUAAUAGCUUGGACUUUUGCUGGUUACAUUUACCUGCCCUUCUUUGUUGUUAUUCUUGACAGUGUACCAGCCCACUGACUGAGUUUAUAUGUGACAGUGCUUUGAAAAUAAAAAUGGCUAUGUAAAAGUUAGUACUCUGGCAAUUGACUUGACUCCAGAGGUCAUAUUUUUGUAAGCACUAGAACAUGAUCCAGAAGGCAGCCAUGGCAAACAGCAGGAAUAAGCCCAAGCACCUUAUGAUCCUGAGAGACAGACUUACCCUCAGACAUCCACCCAGAUGAUAAUUGGUACAAUACUGUAGUAAAAUAGAAACAAAAAGUCACUAGCAUAGCAGUGGGACAAGUAUACUGACAGCCAAAGGAAGAGAUGAACAACUCUGAUUGAUAUUUAUGAUGCUAGAUCAUGAGAUCCUUGACAGCAAGAACUGUGCCUUAUUCACUUUUGAUAUGACAGUACACAGGGCCUGUCCUAAAGUUGGUGCUCAAUAGUUAUUCCUUGAAUAAGUUAAAACUGACCUUGAACAAUUAAAAGGAUAAAUUUUGUUCAUUGUAUCCUGUUUGAGAAAGCAGAAAAGAUGUAAUCAUUCUAAAGGCUUUAUCAAAUGUAAGUCAUUUACAUAUGGCUGAUACAUAAAGUUAUAUAUCAUGGUUAGAAAAAUCCCAGAUACAGGAUAUGCAAGACCAAAGGACAUGAAGACACAGUUCAUGGAGAACAAACAGACAUGAGAAAGUUCAUCCUCACUAGUAAUCAGAUAUGAUUCACAUAGGAGGUAUCAUUUUUUUUAGAUAUCAAAUUAAUAUUUUCCAAAACGAAUUCUCAGUGUUGGCAAAGGCAAAAACAAAUACUUUCAAACGCUGGGACUAGAAAUCACAUCUUCCAGCUCCUACUUCAUUGUUCUUUUCCUUAGUGUCAAAUAGAGCGCUCUUGGAAAGUAAUUUAGCACUUUGAAUUAUCAAUAUACUUAUACCAUUUGACACAGAUGUCAUACUUCUAGGAAUCUGUUCUAAGGAAAUAAUACCAAAUACAUGAAAAGCUAUUUGUCUAAAAUUAGCAAUCCCAGUGUCCAACAAUAAGUAAAUGGUUAAAUAAACUGGAUGUACCUAUAAGACAUAAUAUUAUGCAAUGUUUAAAAACAAUUCUCCUAGGGCGCACCUGGGUGGUUUAGUCAUUAAGUGUCUGCCCAGGGUCCUGGGAUCAAGCCCCACCUCGGGCUCCCUGGCCAACGGGAAGCCUGCUUCUCCCUCUUCCACUCCCCCUGCUUGUGUUCCCUCUCUCGCUGUGUGUCUCUCUGUCAAAUAAAUAAAAUAAUUUUUAAAAAAGGAAAAAAAAUUAGAAAAAAAUAAAAACAAUUCUCCGGGGGAGCCUGGGUGGCUCAGUCAGUUAGGUGUCUGCUUUCGGCUCGGGUCAUGAUCUCAGGGUCCUGGGAUCAAGCCCCUCAUUAAGCUACCUGCUCAGUGGGGAGCCUGUUUCUCCCUUUCCCUCUCUCUCUCAAAUAAAUGCAUAAAAUAUGAAAACAAAACAAAAAAACAAUUCUUGGGGCACCUGGGUGGCUUAGUCGGUUAAGUGUCUGCCCUCCGCUCAGGUCAUGAUCCCAGAGUCCUGGGAUCAAGCCCCACAUCAGGCUCCCUGCUCAGUGGGGAGCCUAUUUCUCCUCCUCCCUCUGCAGCUCCCCUGCUUGUGCAUGCGUGCUCUCUAUCUCUCUCUCAAAUAAAUAAAUAAAUAAAUCUUUAAAAAAUACAAAUACAUACAUACAUACAAUUCUCCCUGAACACUUUGGAAAAAAACUACUUUUUUUUUCUGUUUUUCUAUUUUCUAGGUUUUGUUUUUCAGUUGUAUGUAUAUAUCUUAUUACUUUUGUAACUUAAAGAUUUUUUUUUUUCUUUAAUGGAAACUAUUUUCAGAGGAAAAAGUUUGUAUUCAAUUGAAAGUUUGUAUUCAGCUCUGGAUACCACCAGUUAAAGGGACACUGGCAGACUGGAACUUGUCCAGGAAAGAGCAGCCAUGAUUAGAAUACUUGAAACCAUAGCAGUCGAAGAACAGUUGAAGGAACUGAAAAUGUUUGGCCUGAAAAAAGGAAAGACUUGGGAGAUGUAAUGUUUACCUUCAACUAUAGUAAUAGUUUUUAAAAAGUGAACCAGAUCUUUUAAACAUUUACCAGAUGCCAGUUACUGUGCGAAGUGCUUAUGUGCAUGAUCCCAUUUAAUCCUUUCUGUACUUCUAUAAAGUUAGGCAGAUAAGAACAUUGAAAUUUAGAGGAAUCACAGCCAAUGACAGUACCAAAACUCAAAUCUACCUAUAUCUGUCUCCAGUGUGCAUGUUUCUCUGAAGACUGGUUCUGUACUACUGAAGAGUAGAGACUCAGGGCAGAAACCAUGGAGCCGUAUUUUUGACACACAUAAGGCAGAACUUGGAAUGAUUAGGACUAUUUCAAAGCAGCUCAGGACUUCUACAGAGGAAAAGUAAGCAUCAUCUCAGUAGUGUACUAGCAGAGUGCAUAUUAGAGGAUUUAAUUAUGAAUGUAUCUUUCAGAGUUCCUUCUUAUCCAUCACUCUGUAAAAUCCCUGGACCUGAAUAUAACUCAUUUUCCAUCUAAAUGUUUUGUGGUUUUCUUUUUUUGGGAGGGUGAUCCGGAGAUUCACCCAAAGAAAUCCUCUUAACUAUCAAGAGAAAGCAUUUCUGCUCUGGCUUUAGUAACAGGAGAAAAGUAAAUUAUAUAUAUAUAUAUAUAUUUUGAAAUUCUUUGAAUUUCAUUCACUAUUAUAUAUAUAUCUAUAGGUAUAUAUAUAUAUAUAUAUAUAUAUAUAUAUAUAUAGUCAUUUUUGUGGAACUAGCAAAGAGUUAUAACUAAUAGAGGGAAAUUAUGGUGUUUUAAAGGAUAGGGUUUAGGUUUCUAGAAAAUUAAUUUUUUGCAAUCCUUUAUUCCUUGGUUAUAUCCAAUAAAGUAGUUGUUACUAUAAUGAUCAUAUAUAGUGGGUUAUACUUAGGACUCUGUAGCCUUCACCCAUCAGCAAGUACUGGGUAUAACAGACUGGCCUAAUUGCUGUUGGAGAAUCAAGAACUAAGCAGAAAUUGAAGUUUGACAGAAAGGAGAGGAGCAGUGGUAUCUCAUUAGCACAUGCAGCCUCAGAAGCCUAGGUUUUGCCAGUCUCCAGUUGUUACCAGCUUUGGUAACUCUGAGGGACCUGGAACCAACCAAAUGUGAAUUGAAUCUGAAGUGUCUGCUGAUUUCUGUUUCUUCUUCCAGUUAAUUCAGUUCAUGUUAGCAAAUAAUUACUGAGUAUAUUCUAUAAUUAGGUUUUGUGCUGGGUUCUAAGGAUAGAAAAAUGAGAUUUCAUUUUUUAAUAAGAUCAAGUAAUCAGGAAAUAACCUGUUAAAUCCCUACUUUGUACCAGGCAUUAUGUUAGGUGCUAUGGAUACAGUAAAGAAUUAAACACGUCCUAUCUUGUUCGUACGAUGUUUUGAGUCUAAUGGGGAAGAUUGGAAAGAUGAAGAUGGUACGUCUAUACAAAUAACACGCAAAAAAAUAAAAUAAAAGCUUUCAUUUCAAACAAAUGGGUUUUAAUCUCAAAACAGCUUAAUCUGUCAAGCUUUAGUUUCUCAAUCUGUAAAAUGGGUAUAACGCUACCUAAGUCAAUAGGGAAAUUGUGAGAAUGAGUAAAAGAUAUGAGCCUCUUGAUAAAGUGCUUGACUCAAGCACUCAGUUUUAGAUAAAUUUAUAGCAUCUAUAUGCAAGAUACAAAAGUAACAGAGGAGGAAAUGAUUAACUCUGGUGAUGGUUGAGGGGACUAUAAAGAAAGUUGCAUUAAAAAAGAGGACAUCUCGGGGUGCCUGGGUGGCUCAGUUGUUAAGCGUCUGCCUUCGGCUCAGGUCAUGAUCCCAGGGUCUUGGGAUCAAGCCCCGCAUCGGGCUCCCUGCUCCGUGGGAAGCCUGCUUCUCCCUCUCCCAUUCCCCCUGCUUGUAUUCCCUCUCUCGCUGUAUCUCUCUCUGUCAAAUAAAUAAAUAAAAUCUUUAAAAAAAAAAAAAAAGAAAGAGGACAUCUGAACUAGGUUUUGAAGACGUAAUAGAAGUUGGAUUAGUAAAGAAGGCAUUCCAAGGAGAGAGAAAUGCAAAAGCAAUGAAGGCUGUAACAACGAAGUAUGUUUUGGAAAUUAUAAGUAGCUUGAGUCUAAAGUAUGAGGGUGGGGAGCAGGACAGGAAGUGACUAGAGAGAUCACAGGGGCAAAAUUAUAGGAGGGCCUUUUAUACCAGGCUAGGGAAUUACACCUUAUGUCUUUAUUUCAGGGUAAUAAUAAAGGGAACUGGUUUUAAACACUUUCCCAUCCAUAUCCACAUUAAAUAUAUUUUAGGCAUGUCAAAAUUAGGGAGGGGGUAUGGAAAGCAUGUUUUGCUUGAAAUAAUCACAAACACAUCCAGACUGGAAAGUUCAGGGAAGUUGAAUAUUUUGAUAUACCUCUACCUACAUCUAAUUGAGUAUCACUGUUUUAGGCAAUAAGUUAUUGAAGGUUGUUAAUCAAGAUACUACUAUAGCUAAUGGAUUGGGCCAGAGACACCAGUGGAGGCAGGCAGACUAGUUAAAAGGUUUUCCUUGUAUUACACAAUUCUAAAUAUUUGAUAUCUUAUGGCAUGUUAAUUUCUCCCAAAAAGGAGAAUGUUUAAUUAGAUUUUUUCACCAUGUAAAAACACUACUUAGAAUAGUACUGUUUUAAGCUACCCAAUUUAUUUAUGAAUGUAGCAUCAGUCUAAUACCAAACCUAGGCCACAAAAAUUCAGGAAGACUAUGAACCAAUUUCAGUUAUAAAAUAGAUGCAAAUUCUAAAUAACAGCAGAUUGAAUCCAGUAGUGUAGUAAAGUAAUAAUACACUGUAAUCUACUAGGUUUUGUCAUAGGAAUCUGAGAAUGGUUCAGCAUUAGAAAAUCCAUCAGUAUAAUUAAUCUCUCACUUCACUUGAUAUCAAAAAGGGUCUUGAUCAAAUACAGUACUCACUUAGGUUGCAAACUCUUGGCAACUGGGAAUAGGUGAAGAACUCCCUUAACUUUAUUAAGUUUAUAUACCAGAAAAUUAUAUAAAUACACUUAGUGGUGAAACAUUAUAGACACUUUCUUUUAAAGUCAAGGACAAGAUAAGGAUGCUUUUUCCAACAUUUAUACUAGGGUUCUGGCCAAACAAAACUAGAAAGAAAAAUGAGUUUUCAAGAUUUGAAAAGAUUGAGAAUUGUCAUUAUUUCAAAAUAUUGCCCUCCUAGAAAAUCAGCUAACAAACUACUAGUUAAGCCAUAGUUUACAAAAUCAGUAUCUUAAAAUCUGCCUUUUCUAAGUAUUAGCACUUUCUAAAUUUGGAAAUAUGACAGGAAAAAUGAUCCUAUUCCUAAAAGCAACAAAACCAUAAAAUAUCUGGCCAUAAGCCUUAUUAAAAAAAAACAGUGUAAGGCAUUUAUGGAGAAAACAUUAAACUUCACAGAAGGAUAUAAAAGAAAACCUGAAUAGACAAGUAAAUCAUGUUCCUGUAUGAAUCUGAUAAACAUGUUAAAAUCUCAAUUGGAUUUUUCAUGAGACUUGAUCAACAAACUCUAAAAUACACACAGAAGAAUACAUGCCCAGUGAUGACCAAGAUAAUUUUGAAAAAGAGUGAGAAGGGACACGCACUCUCAGAUAUCAAAAGAUAUUCUAAAACUAUCAAUAGUGUGAUAUUUGGAGAAAGAAUAAAGAAAUAAAAUUUAAUAUACAACAAAAAUAACAAUCCAAAUGGAUUAAACUGCUGAAUUAAAAAAACAAACCUUAAGAACAUUCAUAUAUGAUGUUGGGGCAGGUUAACUUUCAAAAGUUAACCACAAGAAGUAAAAGCCAUAAAAUCUCUGGGUUGCAGCAAAAGCUGUUCUAAGAGGGAAUUAUAUAGCAAUUCAAGCCUAUCUCAAGAAACAAGGAAAAAAUCAAAACAGUCUAAUCUUACAGCUAAAGGAACUAGAAAAAGAACAAACAAAGCCCAAGUGAGCAGAAGAAAGGAAAUAAUAAAGAUCAGAGCAGAAAUAAAAGAUGUAGAGACUAAAAGAACAAUAAAAAAUCAGUGAAAUCAAGAGUAAGUUCAUGAUUUAUUUAUCUUGAAAAGAUAAAUAAAAUUGACAAAUCCUUAGCUAGACUCAUCAAGAAAAAAUAGAAAGGACGCAAAUAGGUAAAUUCAGAAAUGAAAGAAAAGUAACAACUGAUACCACAGAAAUAUAAAGGAUUGUAAAAGAAUACUAUGAAAAAUUACAUGCCAACAAACUGGACAACCUAGAAUAAAUGGAUAAGUUCCUAGAAACAUAUAAUCUUCCAAAACUGAACUAGGAAGAAAUAGAAAAUCUGAAUAAACCAAUUACAAGAAACAAAACUGAAUCAGUAAUAAAAAAAACGGAGCAGCUGGGUGGCUCAGUCAGUUGAGCAUUCGACUCUUGAUUUCAGCUCAGGUCAUGAUCUCGUGAGAUUGAGCCCCAUGGUGGGUUCCACACUCAGUGGGGAAACUGCUUGAAGAUUCUCUCCCUCUGCCCUACCCCCCCCUUGUGUGCACACGCUCUCUCUCUCUCUCUUUCUCUCUCUCUCUAAAAUCUUGGCAAGGGAAACAAAAGCAAAACUGAACUAUUGGGACUUCAACAGGAUAAAAAGCUUUUGCACAGCAAAGGAAACAGUCAACAAAACUAAAAGACAGCCUAUGGAAUGGGAAAAGAUAUUUGCAAAUGAUGUAUUAGAUAAGGGGUUGGUAUCCAAAAUCUAUGAAGAACUCAUCAAACUCAACACCCCAAAACAAAAAAUGCAGCCAAGAAAUGGGCAGAAGACAUGAACAGACACUUCUCCAAAGAAGACAUACAAAUGGCUAACAGACACAUGAAAAAAUGCUCAACAUCAUUCAGCAUCAGGGAAAUACAAAUCAGAACUACAAUGCCAUAUCACCUUAUAUCUGUCAGAAUCGCUAAGGUUAACAACUCAGGAAGUAACAGAUGUUGGUGAGGAUUCAGAGAAAGGGGAACCCUCUCCAGAGUGACUGGUACAGCCACUCUGGAAAACAAGAUGAAGGUUUCUCAAAAAGUUAAAAAUAGAGCUACCCUAUGGCCCAGCAAUUGCACUGCUAGGUAUUUAUCCAAAGCAUACAAACAUAGUGAUUCUAAGGUCACAUGCACCCCAGUGUUUACAGCAGCAGUGUCCACACUAGUCAAACUAUGGAAAGAGCCCAGAUGUCCACUGAUGGAUGAAUGGAUAAAAAGAUGUGUGUACAUGCACACACACAUACACACAAUGGAAUAUUAUUCAGCCAUCAGACAGAAUGAAAUCUUGCCAUUUGCAAGUCUGUUUCUACUUCUGUUACUCUAAUGAAUACCUUUAAAGAGAAAAAUUAUUAUGGACAUGCUCUGACACUUUCUCAUUAUUUAUAAAACAUGUUACUCUCUGAAUUUACUUAGUUCUUUCAUUGUUUUCUGGUCUUCGUUUGCCACACUAGAAUAAAAGCCAUGCGUAUAUGAUUAACUAAUAUUUGA